UAAGGGCACUGGGAAAGUUGUGGGGUGACAGAAAAGGUGGGCAAGGAGGUUUGCAGGAUGGCUAUUUUGAAUCCACCACUACUCUGGGGAGAAGGAAAAAU